UCAUUCGGUAGGUGAGGUUACCACAGGGAUACGGAUUGCUGCCGCGCAAAGGUGGAGACACCCUUGAGCAGGUUAGCAGGCCGCGUCGUAAAGGCGCAGCCUAACGCAAUUUCAUCGCCCUGUGAUGCUAAAGCUUGUACGCAUG
rnacentral:sRNA from 1 species